rnacentral:rRNA from 1 species
CCUACGGGUGGCUGCAGUGAGGAAUAUUGGUCAAUGGGCGUAAGCCUGAACCAGCCAAGUCGCGUGCGGGAUGAAGGUUCUAUGGAUCGUAAACCUCUUUUAUAAGGGAAUAAAGUGCGGGACGUGUGCUGUUUUGUAUGUACCUUAUGAAUAAGGAUCGGCUAAUUCCGUGCCAGCAGCCGCGGUAAUACGGAGGAUCCGAGCGUUAUCCGGAUUUAUUGGGUUUAAAGGGUGCGUAGGCGGGCGGUUAAGCCAGCGGUAAAAGCCCGGGGCUCAACCCCGGCGAGCCGGUGAAACUGGCUUGCUUGAGAUGUCGAGAGGUAUGCGGAAUGCGUGGUGUAGCGGUGAAAUGCUUAGAUAUUGCGCAGAACUCCGAUUGCGAAGGCAGCAUACCGGCGGCGUUCUGACGCUGAGGCACGAAGGCGUGGGUAUCGAACAGGAUUAGAUACCCGUGUAGUC